CCUACGGGAGGCUGCAGUGGGGAAUAUUGCACAAUGGGGGAAACCCUGAUGCAGCGACGCCGCGUGAGUGAAGAAGUAAUUCGUUAUCUAAAGCUCUAUCAGCAGGGAAGAAAAUGACGGUACCUGAGUAAGAAGCCCCGGCUAACUACGUGCCAGCAGCCGCGGUAAUACGUAGGGGGCAAGCGUUAUCCGGAUUUACUGGGUGUAAAGGGGGCGUAGACGGCAGUGCAAGUCUGGAGUUAAAGGCGGGGGCUCAACCCCCGGACUGCUCUGGAAACUGUACGGCUGGAGUGCAGGAGAGGUAAGUGGAAUUACUAGUGUAGCGGUGAAAUGCGUAGAUAUUAGGAGGAACACCAGUGGCGAAGGCGGAUUGCUGGACAGUAACUGACGCUGAGGCGCGAAAGCGUGGGGAGCAAACAGGAUUAGAUACCCCUGAAGUC
rnacentral:rRNA from 1 species